ensembl:lncRNA
GCCCUGAGCCUCUCACAGCACGGAGGUGGAGCUGCAAAAUUACCCUGAAGCUGAGCAUCUCAAAGCUGAAGCAACCCUAGUGGUCAUCUCCUGUGAUUUUCCAUUUUACUACAAUAUUCCUCAUAGCAAGACAACCAUCCUCUGUUUGAACACUCCAAGGACAGGGAGUUCUCUCUUUCUCACAAGAGCAACUCUUAUCAUUCAACAGCUCUAAUCAUUAAAAUGCCUACAGUUAUAUGGUGUCAAAUUAUACCUCUGAAUAACUUGGAUCGUUUUGUCUUUUAGACUUGUACAAAAAAUGCCCAUGGCCACUGACCCAAGAUCCAGCAUGAGGAGAAGUUUGAUGAAAAAGACAAAGGUCUCAACCAAUUGUGUUUUAAACUCGUUCGAAUUUUUGCAAAAGUAUAAGCCUACAGGCUUCCCUGAUGGCUCAGCAGGUCACCCGAGUGGCAAGAAACAGCAGAAAUGGGGAAUUUCCUAGUGGUCCAGUGGUUAGGACGCUGUGCUUUCACUGCCAGGGCCUGGGUUCAAUCCCUGAUCAGGGAACUAAGUUUCCCCAAGCCACAGGACAUGGCCAAAAAUAAAAGAAAGACCAGAAAUGAGACAGAAAUCUUUGGGUAGACAGCACAGGGGGAGCAAUUGGACUAUGGAACCCUAAAUCAGUACCUGAAGAAAUUAACAAGUUUCUUUUUUCUUACUAUUGUCUGCUGACUCCUACUGAAAUUUUAAGAAUACAGUGCUUCUAACUUUUAACAUGUGGUUAACAUUGCUGUAUUUUGUGAUCCCAAUGUAGGGAUCAUAAUAUGAU